AGUGAACGCUGGCGGUAGGCCUAACACAUGCAAGUCGAACGGCAGCACAGUAAGAGCUUGCUCUUACGGGUGGCGAGUGGCGGACGGGUGAGGAAUACAUCGGAAUCUACUUUUUCGUGGGGGAUAACGUAGGGAAACUUACGCUAAUACCGCAUACGACCUACGGGUGAAAGCAGGGGAUCUUCGGACCUUGCGCGAUUGAAUGGGCCGAUGUCGGAUUAGCUAGUUGGCGGGGUAAAGGCCCACCAAGGCGACGAUCCGUAGCUGGUCUGAGAGGAUGAUCAGCCACACUGGAACUGAGACACGGUCCAGACUCCUACGGGAGGCAGCAGUGGGGAAUAUUGGACAAUGGGCGAAAGCCUGAUCCAGCCAUACCGCGUGGGUGAAGAAGGCCUUCGGGUUGUAAAGCCCUUUUGUUGGGAAAGAAAAGCAGCAGGUUAAUACCCCGCUGUUCUGACGGUACCCAAAGAAUAAGCACCGGCUAACUUCGUG
rnacentral:rRNA from 1 species